CUGCAUGCAACAUGGCGUGACCCCAAACUGAAGUGGGCAGCCGACGAACUAGCAUUGCUUCAGGCAAAAUGGCAUGACCCCAAACCGAAGUGGGCAGCCGACAAACUAGUAUUGUUGCAUGAAAAAUGGCGUGAACCCAAGUCGAAGCGGGCAGCCUCGUUUUCAUGAAGAAUUUCAAGAUUAUUCUCAUCUAUUGUCUCAAUAUGAUAUC
rnacentral:lncRNA from 1 species